rnacentral:tRNA from 1 species
GCGGUCCGAAUUGGAACGAAUGCCGUCGGGACUACAUUACACGGAAGGGCGUGGGUUCGAAUCCCACCGGCCGCC